CAACUCUUAGCAAUGGAUAUCUUGGUUCCCACAACGAUGAAGAACGCAGCGAAAUGCGAUACGUAAUGCGAAUUGCAGAAUUCAGUGAAUCAUCGAAUCUUUGAACGCAAGUUGCGCUUUCGAGAG
rnacentral:rRNA from 1 species